AUUGAACGCUGGCGGCAGGCCUAACACAUGCAAGUCGAACGAGUGGCGGACGGGUGAGUAAUGCCUGGGAAACUGCCUGAUGGAGGGGGAUAACUAAUGGAAACGGUAGCUAAUACCGCAUACCAUCGGAUGUGCCCAGAUGGGAUUAGCUAGGAGGUGGGGUAAAGGCUCACCAAGGCGACGAUCCCUAGCUGGUCUGAGAGGAAGACCAGCCACACUGGAAAUGAGACACGGUCCAGACUCCUACGGGAGGCAGCAGAGGGGAAUAUUGCGCAAUGGGCGGAAGCCUGAUGCAGCCAGGCCGCGUGUAUGAAGAAGGCCUUCGAGUUGUAAAGUACUUUCAGCGGGGAGGCGUUACCCGCAGAAGAAGCACCGGCUGACACCGCGCCAGCAGCCGCGGUAAUAC
rnacentral:rRNA from 1 species